rnacentral:rRNA from 1 species
GACGAACGCUGGCGGCGUGCUUAACACAUGCAAGUCGACCGGAAAGGCCCUGCUUUUGUGGGGUGCUCGAGUGGCGAACGCGUGAGUAACACGUGAGUAACCUGCCCUUGACUUUUGGAUAACUUCAGGAAACUGGGGCUAAUACCGGAUAGGAGCUCCUGCUGCAUGGUGGGGGUUGGAUAGUUUCGGCGGUUGGGGAUGGACUCGCGGCUUAUCAGCUUGUUGGUUGGGUAGUGGCUUACCAAGGCUUUGCCGGGUAGCCGGCCUGAGAGGGUGACCGGCGACAUUGGGACUGAGAUACGGCCCAGACGGCUACGGGAGGCAGCAGUGGGGAAUAUUGCACAAUGGGAGGAAGCCUGAUGCAGCAACGCCGCGUGCGGGAUGACGGCCUUCGGGUUGUAAACCGCUUUCGCCUGUGACGAAGCGUGAGUGACGGUAAUGGGUAAAGAAGCACCGGCUAACUACGUG